UACGUAGGGUGCAAGCGUUGUCCGGAAUUAUUGGGCAUAAAGAGCUCGUAGGCGGUUUGUUGCGUCGGCUGUGAAAUCCCGAGGCUCAACCUCGGGUCUGCAGUCGAUACGAGCAAACUAGAGUGUUGCAGGGGAGACUGGAAUUCCUGGUGUAGCGGUGAAAUGCGCAGAUAUCAGGAGGAACACCGGUGGCGAAGGCGGGUCUCUGGGCAACAACUGACGCUGAGGCGCGAAAGCUAGGGGAGCAAACGGG
rnacentral:rRNA from 1 species